GCUGUGCUGUUCUGUUCUUCUGUGAGCGCGCACGUUCUGCCCCGCCUGUUGCCGUUCGCGGCUACUGCAGCUCGGGGGACCCGUAGAGCAGGAAGCGGCGUUAGCGAGGCGAGACCGAGUCGGGCCUGCAGGUACCGGGCGUGGACUGGGCCUGCCUUCCCCUCGCGCUCAGGGGCUGGCGCCUUUCGGCCCCUGUACUUUGGAAGUACAAUGUUUACUUGUUGAGACCAGUGUCAAGUCUGUACCUCCCUGGAAGGACCCUGCUUGGAAAUUUUUGCUGUUUUUCUGCAGAUUGAAGAGCCUAUUGUUAAAUAUUGUGAGCACCAGAACUGGACACAGAGUGGUUUCACCAGUGCCAAGUAUAAAGGUAAAACAACCUUUCUACUCUUACUGUUUUUGCAACUCACGAUUGCAUUAGCUCUUUUGGCCGUAGUGUGUCACUGGGAGCUCAUGUUCAUGGAUAAUCCACCAUGGAUCCCAAAAUUCUUUCAAAGUCACUGCUUCCCAGGAUAGAGUCCCCCACCCUGUAAAUACAGCCUGAGUUCUUUGUUCCCAGAUAUACACAUUUACGUUUGGUUGUAUUAAAACACACACUGUUUGCUUGUGCCUAGUUUACCAAGCGAGCUAGAUAGUUCUGAAUCAGUGACCUGUCCUGUUAUUUACCACUGCCCAAUUUUUGUGUCAUCUGCGAACUUGAUCAGUGGUGGUUUUGUUUUAUUCUGGGUCAUUGAUAAAAAUGUUAAAUAUCAUAGGGCCAAAAACUGAUCUAUGUGGGACUUCACUGUAAACAGACCUGCAUGAUGGCAAUUCCCCAUUUACAGUUACAUUUUGUGAUCUCAGCCAGUUUUUAAUCAAUUUAACGAGCAUCGUGUUUUCUUUAUAUCAUUCUAUUUUUAAUCAAAAUGUCAUGCAGUACCAAGUCAAACCUCAUACAGAAGUCUUAAGUAUAUUACAUCAACACUAUUACCUUUGUGAACCAAAUUGAUAAUCUCAUUAAAAGCAAGUUAGUUUGACAUAAACCUGUGUUGAUUUGCAUUAUUUAUAUUACCCUCCUUUAGUUCUUAUUAAUUGAGUCUCACAUCGGCUGCUCCAUUAUCUUGCUUGGGGUUGAUGUCAGGCUGACAGGCCUACAAUUACCUAGAUCAUCCUGUUUAUCUUUGUUGUUAAUUGGGACAACAUUAGCUUUCUUCCAGUCUUCUUGGUGCUUCAGGACUUCUUGAAAAACAACACUAACAGUCCAACAACCUCCUCAUGCAGCUCUUUUAGAAGUCUGGAUAACUUGCAUCCAAGAGAAGUUGAUUUUAAAAUGUCUAACUUUAGUGUCUCUGGAGGAUGUUAAACAGGAGCUACUAAUUUAAUCAUCACCGCAUGAGA